CAAGCUCCCUCUAGUUCUGCUACUGCUCUGGUAUACUGAUCUCAUCAAAAGUACAAUAAAGCGAACGCUUUUCUUGACAAAGGAAAAAGGAUAGGUAGGAGAAAUCAAACUCGUACACAAGUAAAGCGAAGCCUAGAGUUUGUAGUUCAUUUCUUGGUUGCGAAUUCAAAAGGAUAUUCACAGAUUCUGAAAGUCUCAUAUCACACUCGGCUUUUAUUGGGGUGUAUAUAAAUAUCUGCCAACUUCUGUUUGUCAUUGAAAGAAGUUGUUGGACUGGUGGUCGUGACGCCUUACAGUAUAAAAUUGGCAAAGAUGGGUACAUUUGAUCAAGGUUCUGUUGUGGCUUCUAAGCCCUUGGAUUAUACAAGGAAAAGGAAGAGACGGGAGGGCACUAAAUCUGUUGCUGAGACCCUUCAAAAGUGGAUUGAGUACAAUAAGUAUCUCGAUUCUUGUUCUAAUGGAGACGAUAAACCAAUCCGUAAAACUCCUGCUCAAGGCUCAAGGAAGGGAUGUAUGAAGGGGAAAGGAGGGCCUGAGAACUCACAAUGUAAUUAUAGAGGUGUUAGACAAAGGACAUGGGGUAAGUGGGUUGCAGAGAUUAGGGAGCCAAACAGAGGGUCUAGGCUUUGGCUUGGCACUUUUCCAACUGCCUAUGAAGCUGCUCUUGCAUAUGAUAAGGCUGCACGAGCCAUGCAUGGCACUCUUGCCCGGGUGAAUUUUCCUGAAUUAUCAGAUUCAACAAUGUCAUCAAAGGAUUCCCACUCGGCUGCAACCCUGUCAAGCUAUUCUUCUGUAACAACUCCUGCAGGUUCAGACUCCACUACUACAUCAAAUCAUUCUGAAGUUUGCGCAGAUGAAGACAGCAAGGAGCAUAUUGUAAAAUUUGAGGAUGAUAAAGAUGAAUCAAAAAUAAAACCUCAGCCUUCUGCAGUUAUUGAACCUGUCUCACCAUGUAGUACACUGAAACAAGAAGUGAAGAACGAGCUGGAAUAUUUUUCUGGGUGUGACCGGGGUGGGAUGCCUGAGAUUAAAGUCCCAGAGAAAAAUGAACUUCAACAGAACAAUACUUGUGAGCAAAAACAGAAAGUUAUCUGCAAUCUCCAACAAGAUUCUACGGACGAUUCUUUAAAUGAGAAGGAUUACAGCUGGGAUAAUGGAUGUGAGGAGCAGGAUUACUGGCAGAAUUUCAGAAUUGAUGAAAUGUUUAGCAUUGAUGAACUGCUUGGAGACAUAGACAACAGCCCGCUUAGUCGGGAAUUUGAUGCUGGUCAACUGUUGUUCACUGACAGUGGUCAUCUACAGCAUGAAUCAUUCCAGUUGCAGAGCCCAAAUUGUAGGUUCAUUGGGAGUGAUCAGCGCACAGAGCAGUUGCCUUCAGAGGGUGAUUACAAUUUUGAUUUCUUGAAGCCUGGCAGGCAGGAAGACAACAAUGUUCCAUUGGAUGAUCAAGUAUACUUCAGUUUGGAACUGCUAAACUCGGUGUUUUAGGGGACUCAAGGAAGACAUUUUGCAGCCUGAAAGUGACCCUGUAUUUAUCUUGUGGAAAUAAACGAGAUAAAUAGAUUAUAGAAGUACUGUUUUGUUCUGAAACUAGCUUUUUGAAUUCAGGAGGAGGUCAAAUGACAAGGAGGAUUAGAGUGUAGUCUACUGAUUUAUAGACAUGUUCUACUUACUGAAUUUAUUCUUAGAACUGACCAAAAAAUGAGCUAAUUCUCUAGAGGUUUUUAGAUCAGUGAAAUUGGCCAUGAAACUUAUUGUUUUUGCAAACCAAUCUCGAGAUACAGUUGGAGGGCUGGUUAUUGUUAUACCUAUGGAAAAGCUUUUGUGAGAUUUCUGAAUUUGUUUUGUCGGAAAAAUUCUUUCCUGUAGAUGAAGAGUAGUCAAUGUUAAUACUUUGAUCAACUUUAAGAAGUUUAUGUUCA
rnacentral:misc_RNA from 1 species